rnacentral:lncRNA from 1 species
UUUGCCAGAUGGCAUGAGCCAUAGAAUAUUGACAUCACAAUGGUUCUUCAGCCUGACAACUACAGAAUCCUCAGACUUCAGUUGCUUUCUAGCCACUGCAGUCACCGGUUUGGUGUUUAGAGGCAGAGAGGCAAGGAAAAAUUCACAUUGUUCGAUGAAUUCUUCAUUGCAGGCUCAUCUAAAAAGGUGGAGUUCUGUAUGAGGAGCAAUUUUUUCCAACAUGGAAAUGAUUGAGGAAGAUGUGGGAGAAAAAAAUCGAGCCGUAGUUUGCCAAGGGGCCGCGGUUCUCCGAAGAGGCUGGAAAAGAAAUAAACGAUAUCUCACCCUCUUCACUGAUGUUUUGGUUAUAUCCAGUAAACUGAAUAAGAAGAAGUUUAAAGUAAAGCAUGUCAUUCCAUUGACUUACCUGUGGCUUGGUAAUGAAGUGGACAUAUUCAGGACAGACAACAGCCCUGCUUCCAAGUCCAUUUACCUGUAUUGGCCUAUGGGAAAUGCUGUUGUCACCUUUUGUUCCAUGGAAGAGACCAUUUGGUGGUACUUCUUUCUACAAAGGUAUUUUACUUAUGUUCAUAUUUUAAUUUCCUUGGUGAUAUAGGAAUGGCCAGUAUGUGUUUUUGUUUUGUUUAAAAAAAGUAUAUAUAUAUAUAUAUAUAUAUGUAUAUAUUUCAUAGUCUGUCUCGAAAUCAGCUGUUAAUUAGAUGAUGAAUGGAUAAUGCUUCAUAUUCUCCUGUCCAUUGCUUAUUUUAUUUAAUUUUGGGCAAGUUCGUCAUGUAUUAUUUAUUCUUUGUAUUAGAGUAAACACUACUCUCAAGUCUUAACUUUAAGUUUCCCUAAGUAGAUGUCACUCUAGUAUGCAUAUUCAAACCAUCGGCUGCUUCCUCAUUUGAGGUAAAGCAGAUUUCUACUAUUCUGUUUGUUUCAGAUACAUCAUUUUCAGGACUGGCUAUAUUAUUUAGGUCAAUGUACUAUUAUUACCUGACCAUGUUGUUUCUGAAACAUUUUUGAGAAUUCACCAGUCAAAUAAUGAACUUUGCU